AAAAAUUUUAACUCACAUCAACGUACUCGUUUAACCUCUACAUUAUAGAUUUGCGUAUUAGGCAGACAAUUUGUUAUUUCUGAACUUUAAUCUUAAGAAUAUCUCGUCAUUCCUAAAAUGGACAGCGGUCUUCUAAGUGCGUGAGUUGAGUUUUACCUCGGUAGGCAGAGAACAAACUCGUCCGCCCGAGUUCAUUUGAAAUUCCAAUGGCCGAGAAAAUUGUUUGACCCAAGCACUAAACUCAGCGGGUCAUUAUCAAGAGAUAGAGGAUUAUUUUUUCCAGCUUCGCAAUGAUAUUUGUCCAGAAAUUCAAAAUUGGAUUAAUUAAUUGAUACGAAAAAAGCCUUUGGAUAAUGAUUGUUGAUACAAAGGAAGCAUAAUCCCUGGAAACCAAUAAAGCGAAUUCUCUUUGACACGAAUCGAUAUUUUUUGCGCUGGAAUGUUUCCAAGAACAUUUUAUAACAACAUUCAUAAAAUACAAAACAGAGUCAUGAGUCGUUCGAGAGCGCAGAAGAAAAAUUCCAAGAACUCCACGUGCUGCUGAAAGAAAAAGAAUAAGGCACGAUCCCGGAAAAUUCUAGCAUUCCUUGAAAGGGCAUCAGGAACAAAGGGCUUUGUACAGGAAAUCAUUAUUUUCAGGAAAUAUUUCUCUUGCGAUGGGGUUGACAAGAGAGGAAACAGGCGGGAAAUUGCUUUUUCUCUUUCUGUACCUGAAGAAGUGCCUUGUUUUCGAAAUAAAGGUGUAGAAAUGUCGACAGUGUUAUAAUUAGACGAAACUCCUUUUCUAUAUCGAGAACUGCAUCAACUUUUGCCUGUCAAAUGUAUUUCUCCCCAAAUAAAGUUACUUUUCUAA